rnacentral:rRNA from 1 species
GUGGGGAAUCUUGCGCAAUGGGCGAAAGCCUGACGCAGCCAUGCCGCGUGAAUGAUGAAGGUCUUAGGAUUGUAAAAUUCUUUCACCGGGGAAGAUAAUGACGGUACCCGGAGAAGAAGCUCCGGCUAACUUCGUGCCAGCAGCCGCGGUAAUACGAAGGGGGCUAGCGUUGCUCGGAAUUACUGGGCGUAAAGGGCGCGUAGGCGGACAGCUUAGUCAGAGGUGAAAGCCCAGGGCUCAACCUUGGAAUUGCCUUUGAUACUGGCUGUCUUGAGUGUGUGAGAGGUGAGUGGAACUCCGAGUGUAGAGGUGAAAUUCGUAGAUAUCGGGAGGAACACCAGUGGCGAAGGCGGCUUCCAAGCACAAUACUGACGCUCAUGUGCGAAAGCUAGGGCAGCGAACGGUAUUAGAAACACCGGUAGUCC